rnacentral:rRNA from 1 species
GGGGGGGGCAAGCGUUGUUCGGAAUUACUGGGCGUAAAGGGCUCGUAGGCGGCCAACUAAGUCAUACGUGAAAUCCCUCGGCUUAACCGGGGAACUGCGUCUGAUACUGGAUGGCUUGAGUUUGGGAGAGGGAUGCGGAAUUCCAGGUGUAGCGGUGAAAUGCGUAGAUAUCUGGAGGAACACCGGUGGCGAAGGCGGCAUCCUGGACCAACACUGACGCUGAGGAGCGAAAGCCAGGGGAGCAAACGGGAUUAGAUACCCCGGUAGUCCUGGCCCUAAACGAUGAAUGCUUGGUGUGGCGGGUAUCGAUCCCUGCCGUGCCGAAGCUAACGCAUUAAGCAUUCCGCCUGGGGAGUACGGUCGYAAWGCU